GGCGACAUAGCUCAGUUGGGAGAGCGCACGACUGAAGUAUCUACGUGAUCUUUCUUCGUGCGGUCCCUGGUUCGAUCCCGGGUGGUGCCA